rnacentral:lncRNA from 1 species
AGAAAACUGGGCUGGGUGUGAUAGUAAAGACCCCCGAACCCAGCACUAGGGAGGCAGAGGCAGGUAGAUCUCUGUGAGCUCAAGUCUGGUCUACACAAUGAGUUCCAAGUCAACCAGGGCUACACUGUAGGCAUACAUUUUUUGCAACCUACUUUUAAUAAGGGUUUAACCUCUCCUCUAGCUCACCACCCAGCAGAGGCAGUGUUAGAGGAAAGUUAUUAGGGUCUGGGGGAAGUGGACCUGUUCAGCAAUAGUUCUUUGGGGAUGAGUUCGAUCUUUGUCAGCAGUUCAGUCCUGUAGCAAACACCAAAUACGACUCAGCAGCUGCAGACCAGUCCUCUAGGCAUACAGACUACACACAUGAACCAGCAGCUGCAGACCAGUCCUUUCAUCAAGCAGACAUCAGACACAAACCAGCAACUGUAGUUCAAGCCUGAAGAAACUGCCAGGCUCACGAACAGGCCUGAGCCUGAGGCCAUGGAAUUGGCAAGCUGCCGCAGGACCAUGAAGAGUGGUUCUUGGGCAUUUCCCACAAUGUCAGGGUUAUCUCAAGUUGAGCUCAACAUUGCUAUGUAAAUGGGCUCCCUCACGCUGAGGACAGGACUAAGAGGGAGCUAGCUGGCAGAGAAUGGACGUGUGCAGCUGGCUGCUACAGAGAAGAUGGGGCCCCCUGGUUCAGACCCACAGAAGAAACUGGUCUGACCGUCAUCACUCAACUGGCCCUGCUGACCCAGCUCAGAGAUAUAGUCUCUCAGGGACCGGAGCAGCUCCAAGGAAGAGAGAAUCUGGCAGACACAACCUAAAACAGAAUGCCUGAGGCCUUAAUCUCCACAGCCUUCCAUGUUGACGAAAGCCUGGUGUUGCCCAUCCUCCAAGUUACCCCUCCCCUCAUGCCUUUUCCUGAAAGGAUUCACCUCCAGCAGCCCUUCAGCCUCAGCCUUAGCCUCCACUUGAAGAAGGUAGGUGGUGGGAGGGGGUGGCUGUGCCCCACCCCCCACCCUGACCCCAAGGCCACAGUGGCAUGAGGGGAGAAGAAUACAAAGAAGAAAAACAGUCUUUAGUAAAGAAUAGCAAGGCAGAGCAAACCAAACCCUGGCUCGGUGCUCGUCUGCCACUGUCUGUGGCGUCAGAUUUAUAUUCUUUCAUCAAGCGUCCUUUCACAUGUCUGCUAUAUCCAAACAUCCUUUUCACCUGUGUCUGCUUCAGGAAAACAGUCUCUCGUGUGUUUGCUUAGCAAGAUAUCCUUUCACCUGUGUGCCCCAGCAACACAGCAUUUGAUAUAACUAACUUUCCAAAGAACUAUAAGUUUCCGCUUCACUGCACAGUGAAAACUUAUCUCAAAACAACAAGAACCUCAACAAGCUGAAGGUAACCCAUUAGGGUAAUGCCAAAUCAAGUCCGA